rnacentral:rRNA from 1 species
GGGGAAUUUUCCGCAAUGGGCGAAAGCCUGACGGAGCAAUACCGCGUGAGGGAGGAAGGCUCUUGCGGUCGUAAACCUCUUUUCUCAGGGAAUAAGAAAGUGAAGGUACCUGUAGGAAUCAGCAUCGGCUAACUCCGUGCCAGCAGCCGCGGUAAUACGGAGGAUGCAAGCGUUAUCCGGAAUGAUUGGGCGUAAAGCGUCCGCAGGUGGCUGUGUAAGUCUGCUGUUAAAGAGUGAGGCUCAACCUCAUAAAAGCAGUGGAAACUACACGGCUAGAGUGCGUUCGAGGCAGAGGGAAUUCCUGGUGUAGCGGUGAAAUGCGUAGAUAUCAGGAAGAACACCGGUGGCGAAAGCGCUCUGCUAGGCCGCAACUGACACUGAGGGACGAAAGCUAGGGGAGCGAAUGGGAUUAGAUACCCCAGUUAGUC